UUUUAUAUAACAAAAUGCCACGUCAGCACAAAAAGGUGACAAAAAUACGCUAAAAUCGAGUUCAACGAGUAAUAGGACCUCUGUGAAGUUGGAGUGUGUCGUAACAACUUUGAUCAUAGUGAUCGCAGAGCAGCACCACCCACCCUACCCAAUGUUCAAAAUUGCGGCCGCAACGUCGCAUUAUGCGGUGAUGUGAUGCGAUGUGGUCAUCCAGCGAGUUGCAUCUAUGAUGCGGUGCAAUUUGAGAAUUGCGGGCACAUCAAGCCCUGUUGCAUGAUGCGAUGCGAUGCGCUCGCAAUAUGUAUUUUUUUAUUUUUGUUGCAGCUGGUAUUUUGUUUUAGGUUGGAAUUGCAUGUGCUAUUUUUUUGGGGGGUUUCACAGAAGCUGCUUAAAGUAAAAAAAAAAAAGGGGUCAAAAGUUUUAGAAAGGUUAUGAAGACAGUAUAAAGUCAUUAAGCAACUUAGGGUUUUCACAGAAGCUGCUUUCUCUCUUCUCCAACGAUCAAAUAAUUUGGCUACUAAUUAAGGUAAGUCGUUUUCUUCCUCUUCUGAUGAAUGACUGAUGCUCUGUUUUGGGAGAAAAAUAAGUCAGAAGGGCCCGACAAGUUUUCAAUUAAAAAAAGGAGACAAGUGGGUCUCACAAACUUGUCCUUAAAAUAAACUAAGUCCCUUGAACAAUUGUGAUAGGUGUGGGACAACUAUGUUAGUUGUCUGAACAAUUUCGCACAGUUGUCGAACAAC
rnacentral:lncRNA from 1 species